rnacentral:rRNA from 1 species
CUGGCUCAGGACGAACGCUGGCGGCAUGCCUAACACAUGCAAGUCGAACGGAAGUAGCAAUACUUAGUGGCGAACGGGUGAGUAACACGUGAGCAACCUGCCUUAUACUCAGGGAUAACAGUUGGAAACGACUGCUAAUACCGGAUAAGACCACACUAUGGCAUCAUAGAGGGGUCAAAGUGCUUUAGCGGUAUGAGAUGGGCUCGCGUCCAAUUAGCUAGUUGGUGGGGUAACGGCCCACCAAGGCGACGAUUGGUAGCCGACUUGAGAGAGUGAUCGGCCACACUGGAACUGAGACACGGUCCAGACUCCUACGGGAGGCAGCAGUGGGGAAUAUUGGGCAAUGGAGGAAACUUCCUUACCCAGCAAUGCCGCGUGAGUGAUGAAGGUCUUUGGAUUGUAAAGCUCUUUGAUUGGGGAAGAAUAAAUGACGGUACCCAAAGAAACAAGCCCCGGCUAACUAUGUGCCAGCCGCCGC